UGUGGGGACUUACAAAAUGUCCCCAGUUGGUCAACUUUUUGUUUGUUCAUUAUUCUUGUGAGGACUUUUGGUCCUCACAAGUGUAUUUAAACACACACACACACAAUGGAGCUGGACUAGGGCUAAUGCAUUCUGACAGGAGAGUGACUGCUUCUUCUACACUAAGGAGGUGAGUCAGAAUAUAUAUAAUUUUAAGUGCACAGAGUGUGUGUGCCAGUAUUGUGUGAAUGUGUAUAAUUUUUACAUCAAAAAGGAAAAGCUCACACACCACUCUGUCUAGGAGUAACAUCAUUAACUCACGGUAAAAGAGGAAGCUAAUGCAGUCUCAUCCCCCUCUAACUACUACUGUGUCUAAAUAUGCAGGGUGGGUGGGUGCAAGUCAGACACACCCACAGUUUUACUGUAUAAUCCUCCUCCAAUUGAAAUACUCUAAUAUAUUAUCUCAUAUGAAUAUCCGCUCCUCACUCUCGCCUUCUCCAGCAGCUGUGUAGAAGCUGCGCUGUACACCGUUCCAGGAUCAGCUUACCCUCCCUCAGUCCUUAUUUUAUCCAUAGAGGGAGAUGCUAAACUGACCUUACAUCAGUCUGUAAGGGCAACCUCAUCUACUCCAGUACAGACAUGCCUGGGGUAUUUAAAGCAGUCUACAUCAGAUGUGCUCCCAUGGAAGAGAUGCUGUGAUAGAAGCAUGUUGAUGUACACAUUAUGUAACAUAGUCUACACAGGGUUAUAUACAGCUCAAUAAUAUGGGACUGCUGUCUGUAGCAUCAGUAAUGAGUUAUGUACACUGUACCAGAAGAUUUGUGUGUGCACACCAUGGACUAAUUUGGGAAUGCAGUGUGUAGGUUGUGAAAUGACUCGUUUGACUGAGAAGUCUACCCACGUAGGGCACAAUAAGCCCCUGUCUGUUAUUUCCUGAACAUCUCUCUCUCUCUCCUUUUUAGAUUGUACUUUUCUCAUUUCCUCUGGUAUCGACUCACUUUUCCCCAUCUCUCUUCCCCCUCUCCUCUCUUCCUCCUGUCAGACUACGACUAAGACGGUGAAAAAGACACCAAAGAAGAAGACAACCACCACAGCUACAGCCAGCAACAACGCUGAGUCACCAUGAUAUCUGUAUCUACUGACCCCAUCUACACCUUACUGAACACCACUACAGCCAUGUAACAGGCCCUCUCUGUCUCCAGUCCCCACACACACACACACGGACCUCUGGAGUGUCACCCUCGCCGGUUAAGCACAACUCGCAGGUUUAGUUCAACUGUAGAUGGCCAGCAGGCUUAGUCCUACUGUAGAUGGCCAGCUUCAUGUCAACUCGCAGGUUUAGUUCUACUGUAGAUGGCCAGCAGGUUUUGUUCUGCUGUAGAUGGCCAGCUUCAUGUCAACUCACAGGUUUAGUUCUACUGUAGAUGGCCAGCAGGCUUAGUUCUACUGUAGAUGGCCAGCUUCAUGUCAAUUCACAGGUUUUGUUCUACUGUAGAUGGCCAGCAGGUUUAGUUCUACUGUAGAUGGCCAGCUUCAUGUCAACUCACAGGUUUUGUUCUACUGUAGAUGGCCAGCUUCAUGUCAACUCGCAGGUUUAGUUCUACUGUAGAUGGCCAGCAGGCUUAGUUCUACUGUAGAUGGCCAGCUUCAUGUCAACUCACAGGUUUUGUUCUACUGUAGAUGGCCAGCAGGCUUAGUUCUACUGUAGAUGGCCAGCUUCAUGUCAACUCACAGGUUUUGUUCUACUGUAGAUGGCCAGCUUCACGUCAACAACACUUGUUUUAUUUAACCUGCUGCUUACAUAUUCUAGGUUUUAUAGUCAUUAACCUCAGUGUGUGUGUGUGUUUUAGUGAUGGCCUGUUAUCUGGACUGAAAAAGAGUUGCUUCCUUCCUGCUGUACAGAUAAUAGCCCUCUGUGUUGGGCCCCUCCCAGGCCAUCCAAGGCCUCACACUAGAUUGACAUGACAUAAUCCUCUUGGGAGCAUAGGGCAUCCAUCAUGAAUCUCCAUCCCCCUCAC